UACAGAGGGUGCGAGCGCUGUUCGGAAUUAUUGGGCGUAAAGGGCGCGUAGGCGGUGCGGUAAGUCACCUGUGAAAUCUCCUGGCUCAACUGGGAGCUUGCAGGCGAAACUGCCGUGCUGGAGUGUGGGAGAGGUGCGUGGAAUUCCUGGUGUAGCGGUGAAAUGCGUAGAUAUCAGGAGGAACACCUGUGGCGAAAGCGGCGCACUGGACCACAACUGACGCUGAGGCGCGAAAGCUAGGGGAGCAAACAGG
rnacentral:rRNA from 1 species